UACGUAGGUGGCGAGCGUUGUCCGGAUUUACUGGGCGUAAAGAGCGCGCAGGCGGUCGUUCAAGUCGCGUGUGAAAGCCCCCGGCUCAACUGGGGAGGGUCACGCGAUACUGAUCGACUCGAAGGCAGGAGAGGGAAGUGGAAUUCCCGGUGUAGUGGUGAAAUGCGUAGAUAUCGGGAGGAACACCAGUGGCGAAGGCGACUUCCUGGCCUGUUCUUGACACUCAUGAGCGAAAGCGUGGGGAGCGAUCCGG
rnacentral:rRNA from 1 species